CAGAGAUGGAUUGGUGCCUUCGGGAACUCUGAGACAGGUGCUGCAUGGCUGUCGUCAGCUCGUGUUGUGAAAUGUUGGGUUAAGUCCCGCAACGAGCGCAACCCUUAUCCUUUGUUGCCAGCGGUUCGGCCGGGAACUCAAAGGAGACUGCCAGUGAUAAACUGGAGGAAGGUGGGGAUGACGUCAAGUCAUCAUGGCCCUUACGAGUAGGGCUACACACGUGCUACAAUGGCGUAUACAAAGAGAAGCGAACCUGCGAGGGCAAGCGGACCUCAUAAAGUACGUCGUAGUCCGGAUUGGAGUCUGCAACUCGACUCCAUGAAGUCGGAAUCGCUAGUAAUCGUAGAUCAGAAUGCUACGGUGAAUACGUUCCCGGGCCUUGUACACACCGCCCGUCACACCAUGGGAGUGGGUUGCAAAAGAAGUAGGUAGCUUAACCUUCGGGAGGGCGCUUACCACUUUGUGAUUCAUG
rnacentral:rRNA from 1 species